rnacentral:rRNA from 2 species
ACGCGUAUGAAAGACAAGCUGAAAGACUUUUCUCAAUGACGUAAGUGGUGGUGCAUGGUCGUUCUUAGUUCGUGGAUUGAUUUGUCUGGUUUAUUCCGAUAACGAGCGAGACCCCAACGUUCCUAAUAGGAGCACCAGCCCGGCUCGACCGCUUCGGCGGACUUGCUAGCAGGUGUCUCUCUAGCUUCUUAGACGUAUCAGAGCCGAUAAGGUUCUUGAAAUGGGUUAAUAACAGGUCAGUCAUGCCCUUAGAUGUUCUGGGCCGCACGCGCGUUACAAUGGUAGCCAUCAGAAAGUGCCUGCAAAGGGUGUCUCCGUGGCCGAAAGGCUGCGGUAACCCAUAGUCGCUCCCUUGACUGGGCCAGACUAUUGCAAUUAUUGGUCUCAAACGAGGAAUUUUUAGUAUACGCAGGUCAUUAACCUGCGCGG